rnacentral:rRNA from 1 species
GAUGAGCGCUGACAGAAUGCUUAACACAUGCAAGUCUACUUGAACUUCGGUUUGGGUGGCGGACGGGUGAGUCACGCGUAAAGAACUUGCCUCACAGUUAGGGACAACAUUUGGAAACGAAUGCUAAUACCUGAUAUUAUGAUUUUAGGGCAUCCUAGGAUUAUGAAAGCUAUAUGUGCUGUGAGAGAGCUUUGCGUCCCAUUAGCUAGUUGGAGAGGUAACGGCUCACCAAGGCGAUGAUGGGUAGCCGGCCUGAGAGGGUGAACGGCCACAAGGGGACUGAGACACGGCCCUUACUCCUACGGGAGGCAGCAGUGGGGAAUAUUGGACAAUGGACCAAAAGUCUGAUCCAGCAAUUCUGUGUGCACGAUGACGUUUUUCGGAAUGUAAAGUGCUUUCAGUUGGGAAGAAAAAAAUGACGGUACCAACAGAAGAAGUGACGGCUAAAUACGUG